AAAAACGUCAGAAUAUUUUUGAAAACUCUAUCACGUUUAUUAAAUUCAACGUAUGCAAUUUAUUUUGUGAAAAUGAUUAUCUGAAUUGUAAUUUGUUGUAACAAAAACAAAAUCGAAAAUAAUGAAAUCAUUAGUGCCGUAAACUUUCUCGUUUUCUGGUUUUCCUUAACUAUUAAGAAAAUUAUACAAUAAAUCAAAAAACACUUAAUUCAAUACCAAUUAGAUAAAAUUGUCAUUCACAAAAAAUAAUACUUUUAAUUUUUAAAUUUCGGUUUUAGAUUUCUGGCUAACAACAAAAUUUGAAGAUAUUUAAAUUGAUGAAAUUAACAUCGUAAAUAUCUGUUCGUUUUCAUAUAUUUUAUCCCGGUUUUUCCCAGUUAUUAGACUUCUAUGCACCAAUAGCGAACUUGGAUUUGGUUCGUCUUCUUGGGGGGAGGGGGCAAUAUCCUUUUGGUUUGAAAAUUAUAUUUUCAAUAAACACGACCAGAGGUCAGUUAGUAAAUGUGACCCAUGAUCGUUUAAUGUGAUAGCACAACUAUCUACAGAGGCCGUGAUUAUAAUUUAA